GACGAACGCUGGCGGCGUGCUUAACACAUGCAAGUCGAACGGAAAGGCCCUGCUGUUGUGGGGUGCUCGAGUGGCGAACGGGUGAGUAACACGUGAGUAACCUGCCCUUGACUUUGGGAUAACUUCAGGAAACUGGGGCUAAUACCGGAUAGGAGCUCCUGCUGCAUGGUGGGGGUUGGAAAGUUUCGGCGGUUGGGGAUGGACUCGCGGCUUAUCAGCUUGUUGGUGGGGUAGUGGCUUACCAAGGCUUUGACGGGUAGCCGGCCUGAGAGGGUGACCGGCGACAUUGGGACUGAGAUACGGACCAGACGCCUACGGGAGGCAGCAGUGGGGAAUAUUGCACAAUGGGCGGAAGCCUGAUGCAGCAACGCCGCGUGCGGGAUGACGGCCCUCGGGUUGUAAACCGCGUUCGCCUGUGACGAAGCGUGAGUGACGGUAAUGGGUAAAGAAGCACCGGCUAACUACGUG
rnacentral:rRNA from 1 species